GAUGAAGAACGCAGCGAAAUGCGAUAACUAAUGUGAAUUGCAGAAUUCAGUGAAUCAUCGAGUCUUUGAACGCACAUUGCGCCCCCUGGUAUUCCGGGGGGCAUGCCUGUCCGAGCGUCAUUGCUGCCCUCAAGCACGGCUUGUGUGUUGGGCUCCGUCCCCCCGGGGACGGGCCCGAAAGGCAGCGGCGGCACCGAGUCCGGUCCUCGAGCGUAUGGGGCUUUGUCACCCGCUCUGUAGGCCCGGCCGGCGCCAGCCGACAACCCAUCAUCCUUUUCAGGUUGACCUCGGAUCAGGUAGGGAUACCCGCUGAACUUAAGCAUAUCAAUAAGCGGGGA
rnacentral:misc_RNA from 1 species